rnacentral:lncRNA from 1 species
UUUUAUUUUUAUUUGUAUUUAUAUUUUUUUAAUUUCUAAAUUUUUAACAAAUUUAUUGGGCAGAAAAAUUAUUUAAAAUUUUUAAAUAUAUUUUUACAUUUAUUUUUGAUAAAUUUAUCUAAAAUUCUCUUUUUAUGGUUUAGUUAAAACUUCAACUCUUUUAUUUAUUUAUUUUUUUAGUUUCGAAUUUCAUAGACAAAAUUUUGAGUUGAUAUGAUCCUUAAUAAAAGUAAAAUUUCAUAUAAUAAAUAAAAG